GAUCCUGGCUUAGGAUGAACGCUAGCGACAGGCUUAACACAUGCAAGUCGAGGGGCAGCAUAAAAGUAGCAAUACUUGGUGGCGACCGGCGCACGGGUGAGUAACGCGUAUGCAACUUACCUAUCAGAGGGGAAUAACCCGGCGAAAGUCGGACUAAUACCGCAUAAAACAGGGACACCGCAUGGUGAUAUUUGUUAAAGAAAUUCGCUGAUAGAUGGGCAUGCGUUCCAUUAGGUAGUUGGUGAGGUAACGGCUCACCAAGCCGACGAUGGAUAGGGGAACUGAGAGGUUGGUCCCCCACACUGGUACUGAGACACGGACCAGACUCCUACGGGAGGCAGCAGUGAGGAAUAUUGGUCAAUGGGCGAGAGCCUGAACCAGCCAAGUCGCGUGAAAGGAAGAAGGAUCUAUGGUUCGUAAACUUCUUUUGCAGGGGAAUAAAGUGCAGGACGUGUCCUGUUUUGUAUGUACCCUGAGAAUAAGGAUCGGCUAACUCCGUGCCAGCCGCAGC
rnacentral:rRNA from 1 species